CCCUUAGAUGUUCUGGGCCGCACGCGCGCUACACUGAUGCAUUCAACGAGUCUAAAACCUGGUCUGAUAGGGCUGGGUAAUCUUUUGAAUGUGCAUCGUGAUUGGGAUAGAUGAUUGCAAUUCUUCAUCUUCAACGAGGAAUGCCUAGUAAACGCAAGUCAUCAGCUUGCAUUGAUUACGUCCCUGCCCUUUGUACACACCGCCCGUCGCACCUACCGAUUGAAUGGUCCGGUGAAAUCUUGGGAUUUUGUUUUGUUUGCAUUUAUUUGUAUCGAGACGAGAGAACUUGAGUAAACCUUACCAUUUAGAGGAAGGUGAAGUCGUAACA
rnacentral:rRNA from 1 species